rnacentral:rRNA from 1 species
UACAGAGGGUGCAAGCGUUAAUCGGAAUGACUGGGUGUAAAGGGCGCGUAGGCGGUUCUGUAAGUCAUCUGUGAAAUCCCGGGGCUCAACCCCGGAACAGCAAAUGAAACUACAGAUCUAGAGGAUAGGCGGAGAAAACGGAAUUCCACAAGUAGCGGUGAAAUGCGUAGAUAUGUGGAAGAACACCGGUGGCGAAGGCGGUUUUCUAGCUUAGACCUGACGCUGAGGCGCGAAAGCAAGGGGAGCAAACAGG